GAUAAACGCUAGCGGCAGGCUUAACACAUGCAAGUCGAGGGGCAGCAUAGAUUGUAGCAAUACAAUUGGUGGCGACCGGCGCACGGGUGCGUAACGCGUAUGCAACCUACCCGUCACAGGGGGAUAAUCCGGAGAAAUCUGGUCUAAUACCCCAUAACAUAUGGAUCGGCAUCGGUUCAUGUUGAAAUUUUCGGAGGUGACGGAUGGGCAUGCGCAGCAUUAGCUUGUUGGUGAGGUAACGGCUCACGAAGGCGACGAUGCUUAGGGGGGCUGAGAGUUUUGCCCCCCACACUGGUACUGAGACACGGACCAGACUCCUACGGGAGGCAGCAGUGAGGAAUAUUGGUCAAUGGGCGCAAGCCUGAACCAGCCAUGCCGCGUGCAGGAUGACGGCUCUAUGAGUUGUAAACUGCUUUUGUACGAGGGUAAAGUGGGUUACGUGUAACCUUUUGAAAGUAUCGUACGAAUAAGGAUCGGCUAACUCCGUGCCAGCAGCCGCAGUAA
rnacentral:rRNA from 1 species